GUCGAGCGGUAAGGCCCUUCGGGGUACACGAGCGGCGAACGGGUGAGUAACACGUGGGUGAUCUGCCUCGCACUCUGGGAUAAGCCUGGGAAACUGGGUCUAAUACCGGAUACGACCACGGCCUGCAUGGGUUGUGGUGGAAAGGUUUACUGGUGCGAGAUGGGCCCGCGGCCUAUCAGCUUGUUGGUGGGGUAACGGCCUACCAAGGCGACGACGGGUAGCCGACCUGAGAGGGUGAUCGGCCACACUGGGACUGAGACACGGCCCAGACUCCUACGGGAGGCAGCAGUGGGGAAUAUUGCACAAUGGGCGAAAGCCUGAUGCAGCGACGCCGCGUGAGGGAUGACGGCCUUCGGGUUGUAAACCUCUUUCGACAGGGACGAAGCGCAAGUGACGGUACCUGUAGAAGAAGCACCGGCCAACUACGUGCCAGCAGCCGCGGUAAUACGUAGGGUGCGAGCGUUGUCCGGAAUUACUGGGCGUAAAGAGCUUGUAGGCGGUCUGUCACGUCGAUUGUGAAACCUCGCGGCUCAACCGCGAGCCUGCAGUCGAUACGGGCAGACUAGAGUACUUCAGGGGAGACUGGAAUUCCUGGUGUAGCGGUGAAAUGCGCAGAUAUCAGGAGGAACACCGGUGGCGAAGGCGGGUCUCUGGGAAGUAACUGACGCUGAGAAGCGAAAGCGUGGGUAGCGAACAGGAUUAGAUACCCUGGUAGUCCACGCCGUAAACGGUGGGUACUAGGUGUGGGUUUCCUUCCACGGGAUCCGUGCCGUAGCUAACGCAUUAAGUACCCCGCCUGGGGAGUACGGCCGCAAGGCUAAAACUCAAAGGAAUUGACGGGGGCCCGCACAAGCGGCGGAGCAUGUGGAUUAAUUCGAUGCAACGCGAAGAACCUUACCUGGGUUUGACAUACACCGGAAAGCCGUAGAGAUACGGCCCCCCUUGUGGUCGGUGUACAGGUGGUGCAUGGCUGUCGUCAGCUCGUGUCGUGAGAUGUUGGGUUAAGUCCCGCAACGAGCGCAACCCUUAUCUUAUGUUGCCAGCGCGUAAUGGCGGGGACUCGUGAGAGACUGCCGGGGUCAACUCGGAGGAAGGUGGGGACGACGUCAAGUCAUCAUGCCCCUUAUGUCCAGGGCUUCACACAUGCUACAAUGGCCGGUACAGAGGGCUGCGAUACCGUGAGGUGGAGCGAAUCCCUUAAAGCCGGUCUCAGUUCGGAUCGGGGUCUGCAACUCGACCCCGUGAAGUUGGAGUCGCUAGUAAUCGCAGAUCAGCAACGCUGCGGUGAAUACGUUCCCGGGCCUUGUACACACCGCCCGUCACGUCAUGAAAGUCGGUAACACCCGAAGCCGCUGGCCUAACCCGCAAGGAGAGA
rnacentral:rRNA from 1 species